AGUGAACGCUGGCGGUAGGCCUAACACAUGCAAGUCGAACGGCAGCACAGUAAGAGCUUGCUCUUACGGGUGGCGAGUGGCGGACGGGUGAGGAAUACAUCGGAAUCUACUUUUUCGUGGGGGAUAACGUAGGGAAACUUACGCGAAUACCGCAUACGACCUACGGGUGAAAGCAGGGGAUCUUCGGACCUUGCGCGAUUGAAUGAGCCGAUGUCGGAUUAGCUAGCUGGCGGGGUAAAGGCCCACCAAGGCGACGAUCCGUAGCUGGUCUGAGAGGAUGAUCAGCCACACUGGAACUGAGACACGGUCCAGACUCCUACGGGAGGCAGCAGUGGGGAAUAUUGGACAAUGGGCGCAAGCCUGAUCCAGCCAUACCGCGUGGGUGAAGAAGGCCUUCGGGUUGUAAAGCCCUUUUGUUGGGAAAGAAAAGCAGCAGGUUAAUACCCCGCUGUUCUGACGGUACCCAAAGAAUAAGCACCGGCUAACUUCGUG
rnacentral:rRNA from 1 species